UCCAGUAUAGGUUUAGUUAGCGUUUCAUCGCAUAUUUGGGUUAUUUAACAAAAAAUAUGGUUAAGAGGUGUAAUCACGGACUUUGUAAUAGUGACGACAGGUAUCCUGAAAGGCUAGUUGGUGGAGUUCGAUUCGUACCCUUUCCAAAACCGAAGACCCAGUACGAAAAAUGCCUUCGAUGGAACUUUGUGGAAGACCGCAUCAUCAACUAAAUCCAUCUAAUAUCAACCGGAACAGAUAUGUUUGCACGAAGCGCACGUGGCGUGACGUCACUUCAGGAGGCGUGGUUAAGUGCCCUGUACGGAGGGGUCAAUUGGCUGGCAACCAGUUCAGGGUCUACCCUGCCUCCUGCACGAUGAUUGGGAUUGGCUCUGGCACUCCUGCGACCCCUGUGAGGAUAACCGACUCCGAAGAUGGGCUCGGAGAGAAAAUAAAAACUCCUUCAACAAUGUGGCCCUUGCAUCAGCUCCCCGGCAAGAUCUUGAACGGAUCAGCAGCCCGUGUGCAGCACGGCGGGUGGAGUUCAUCUGUCAGCAGCUAAACUCGUCAGCCUAAUGAGGCAGUUACUGUACGGCGAUGACUCCUCACUCAGAAGCUUGUCUUGGUACACGGCAGAGUCUCACAUUUCAAGGAGGCCAAAAAUAACAUUUACCUCUCUCAUAAAAGAAAAAAAAACUCACAAACUCACUCCACCCAAAGAAUAAUCCAAAAACCUCUCAUGUACAACAAAAAGUUUUCAAUUCAGCCAAAUAAUGUUGUUAAAGUCACCCUAAAAAUCCCUACAAAUGGUACAAAAAAAUAACUAACCAUGAAAAUAAAAAAUGCUUAAUCAUAACAACAGAAAUAACAACAGAAAAUCUCACUCAAAUAACCUGGAACAGUCACUAAAACUCUCACCUCACCAGAACAAAACAAAAAAAACUCACAUACAGCAAAAAAACCUUGAUGUCUCUUAAAUAUUCUCUCACUCACCCAAAAAAACACUCAUUUGCACCAAAAAUGUUUGACUUGCACCCCAAAAACUCACAUUCAACCAAAAACACUCACCAAAAACCUCUCACGCUUCAAAAAAUCAUCCUCUUACAUUUUAGUCUGAUCUUCCUUUCUUGCAAUUUUUUUUAACCCUCACUUGGUUUUUGUUCAAAUUUGAUUUUGAUUUGAUUCUUUAUGAAUUGUGUGAGAGGAUUUUUUUUUUUCAGUAUGUGUGAGGAUUAAUGGGUGUGUGUGUGUUGUGUGCAUGCACAUUUUUUGGGGGUGUGAAUGUGAGACCUGUAUACUUUUUUCAGGUGCGAGAGAGUUUUUGAGGUUUACUGUAAGCGGUACAUAAACGCCACGGUUGGCCUACACAGACGGCACCUCAUCCUCUCACACCCGAUUUGCUGCGACACUGGGAAUUUGGUGAGACAAUUGAAAGCCGGUGAACUUUGUACGCAGGAGCUUCGACAUACAGAUUGUGAUUCACACGUGCUCACACACUUCCACACAAGAGCGUACAAAGCUGUCUUUGUCGACCAGUGGCAGCCGCUCAGUCAUUGCUAACUAAAUGUAAAAAACAUGUCCGCAGUGUGUUUACAUGUACAUGUGUCAUGUCCCAGUCUGCGCUGUUCUCCACUUCCCCCAACUUUAACUCUUGACUAAUGCGUGAUCAUGUGUCAGCCGUGACUUUAUAUGUGGAAGUCACUUCCUGUGUGGAUAAUACUUUUCAGGGCGCUCUUACCCAUCGACAAGCAAGUGAUCAACUUUAUGCUGUUGAUGAUUUGGAAAAGUUUCCCGGCAUUGUCUUCUGGGUAUCCAUUGUGGGAGUUUAUAGUAUGAUUUUUAAAAGAAAAAUGAACUGCUUCCAACAGCGGUGUCACAAACGUGGUCUACUUGCACUUGGAUGAACUGAAUUUAGCACAGUAAAUGUAUGACCUUUAAUAUAAAUGUUUUCUUGUUUUG